UUUUGUUCCAAGGAAACCUCAGAGUAUUUUGCUUCUCUUACUUUUUCUCUCUAUUUUGUUUCAAUGAAACUCUAGUAUUUAUAGGCUAAUAUUGGUAGCUUAGUGGGCUUUUGAGAGAGGUCCAAGUUUGAGAUUUUUUUCUUUUAUUUAUUUAUUUAAUUAUUUAUUUAAUUUCUUUUUCUUUUUUUUUUUUUGUUUUUUUUUUGAAAAA
rnacentral:lncRNA from 1 species